UGAGUGAUUGUUAUGACAGUUAAGUUAAGGUGUGAUUAUUUAUUCUUAUAUUGUUUUCAGGUGCUGUGCAAUAUGGAUGGAAAUCAAAAAAUUUAUGCGGCUGGAAUACAGCGGUGAUUAUACCGUCAGACGUGACAUCUCCCUCUUUAGGGAAGUUCGGUCCCCGAAUUUUUAUUAGAUUCUAAAGUGUGCCUGGCAGUGUAAGAGUUGUGUCGCUGCAGCUGGGUUUAUCUAAUCGAGGGCUGGUUGUCUAUACUGUCACCGUGAUUUCGUUGGACGGAUAUGAUAAGGAUAAAUUAAAAGUGAUAGGAGGUAUUAGUGAGCUGAGACUGAAUUAAUAAGGAUAAGUAUUUUCAAUCUUAUUUUAUAUUCUUAUGAAUAUAUGUGUAUAUAGAAAUAUUAAUGUAUUUUCCUUUAUUUUAUUUCAGGUGAGGAAUAGGUACGAAAUUAUCCUGGAUGGGCUUGCUUUAUGAGUGUGAAUAUGAAUACGUUAUAAUAGUAAUCUUACAAUUAG